GAGAAACCAAGGAAGAACAAGCCCUAGGUGAAAAAUCAAAGAGAAAGUGUUGGAAUUCAAGGAAACAAGCUAGGUAAGUUCAAAUUUCUUUAAUUCUCCUUGAUACCUAGCUUACCCAUGCUUUUGUUCUUGAUUUCCAUGGUUGAAUAUUGAGUUAUCAUGAUGAAUUCAAUUCUGAAAAAUGGGUAUGGAAGAGGAAUUGUUGUUGGAAUAAUUUGAUUUUAGACUAUGUUAGUGUUUAAGGAUAGUUAAGCAUGGUUAUGAACAAAAACACAAAAGAAAUAUUCAAUUUCUCUAGGGUUCCUUGUUGUUCGAACCAUGAGGGCUGAAUAUCAAUGGGGGAUUGUUUUUCUUUCAAGGAAAAUGGCUUGAAAAUAUGAUGAAUUAAAGUGAAACGGUUAUGUAGAAAAAUUUCGGUGCUAGUGCACCAAAUGAUCGAAUUUUUCUAUAAGGAACUGUGAGGGUUCUAAUGCUGAAUUUGGCUUUAUUUAAAUGGUAUGUGGUAAAUUAAGGUAUUAGAGGAGAAAUGGAUUAAUUUGGAGUGAAAUUGGAUGCAUUGGCCAAUUUAUCAAAUGAAAAAUCGACUUAGGCCACUACCGAAUCUAGAUGGCUACCCGUGCAUUUUUCAUUUCAUAUCAUAUAUAUAUCGAGCCUGAAAUAGCUUAUGACUGUUAGACACAAUUUAAUUGGAAUAUGUGUCAUGGAUUAUGGCUAGGUGGUGAGCCAUUGCAUACGGGUAAAGGACUGUACCCGCAGACUAAAAAUAGGAGUAUUUCUACUCCUAAUACCGGUGAGUGGACUUGCAUUUCAAACUUAUUUUGGGGAAUAUGAAAGAUUCUAUCCAACUUGCCUUAGAAAAUGUACCUUGGGAACAAGCUUUUAGUAAAAUGAUUUAUAUUGUGAAAAUGUGCUAUACAAUAGUUUAUGUGUUAUCACAAUAUGAUAAAAUGCAUGAUAUGCAUUGGAUGCUUCUUUACAUGUUGAUUUGAACCCGGCUAUGUGCGAGUAGGAGUGCACAUAAGCUGUUGCUGACCCGGCUAUGUGUGAGUGGGAGUGCACAUAAGCCGUUGUUGCCUCCGUAGCGAAAGGGGGGAUGCUCC
rnacentral:lncRNA from 1 species